GAUGCAUUUGUGUAAGAAUAAUAUCCAUAUUUAACAUGUUAUAAAGUAAAAUAAGUAGCUCCUGGCCAAACGGAUUCUACUUAUGUCUAAAGUGUAAUUUUACUACGCUAGGGUGUAGCGUAGUAUGUCAUGGCAUAGCGUAAUCCCAGUAGUGCGUCGCGUAAGUUACGCUUAGACCUAACUUGUCUGGGUUAGUUAUGAUUAAAUUGUUAAUCAAUGUCACUGGUAAACUGGUAAAACACUGGUAAAACGUUUCAAAGCAUCGAAGGAAUUGUCUCCCGUUUCAAAAGUUCUGUACACAAAACAGUUAAAUUCACAGUUUGUACAAGAGCGUGUGUACAUUGCAAAAAAAUAAGCUAGUAUUCUGUGAAAUAGUAUAAAUAAACCCAUUAUGCUUCAGUAAAUGAACCAAAGAACAUGCCAGGUUUAAAUAAACCACUGCUGGGUUUGUCUGUUUUGGUUCAUAUGUGGGUUGCUAAACAACCCAAUGUGGGUUAUUUCAACACGUUGGUUUUAGAGUGUACACUAAUCUACAUACAACUGAUCAGUGCAUAAAAUGGUUUCCUAUCUGAUGUGCUGCUUCCUAAUUCACCUAUUGUGGGUCUCAUUUUGUCUCUUUUCACACUCGCUGUAAUGGAGUUGUUCAUCUUCAUGGCUUUUCAGCUUCUUAUGGAGGUUCAGUCUUACAUUGUUCAUCUUCAUCGCUUUUCAGCUUCUUAUGGAGGUUCAGUCUUACACUCGAAUCAGCUAAAAUAUUGGCUUACUGAGCACAGGAUUGAUAAACCAUCAUGUCAUUCUCCUGAUGGCACAGUGACGGUUCUAGAUGAGAUAUUUCACUGCUGUUCUUCAACUACCACUUUGAAGUCACAUGUUCAAAAAACAUCUCCUCACUCUGAUCCAGUGACAGUAACAGUCCAGAAUUCAGUGGCGACCUCUACUGGUGAAACUCUGACAACAGCCACAGAAACUGAUAUUCUGAAUAUCUGUAAGAACUGAAACAAACCUUGAAAACCUUGGCUUUCAGUAGUGCUGGUUUUCACUGGUGUUGGUUUAUUUCUGUCUGGACUCAUGGGAUUCAUCUGUCUCUGCCACUUUGACACGACAUCUCUUCUCUGAUGAUGUGUUUACUGGCGUGAGGGUGGGACAACCUGUCACUCACAUGAGAUCGACCAAUAGCAAAUCACAACCAUCCAAUUCCUGAUCAAAAUCAAGUCCUGCCCUAUAUUCUUACUUCUUUGAGAAGUUGUUUCACUUGGAUAUAGAGAAGAAAAGGCUAUCGCAACUUCCCUUUCAUGUCAACUUUAAAUGUUACUUUUUACAAAACCUCCUUCCAUCUUUCCGAGUCUGUGAGUACAAAAAAACGUUACAUGUGGCCAGUGGCAUAACUUUGUUAUGGUGGUGCUGGUUACAUCAGAAAUGUACUGAUAAAUGCACAAAAAAUAACAUUACUGUCCAGAAAUCAAUUUCAGUAUUACAUUGAGUUUAAUUUAUCACUGUUCACUCCAGUGCUGAUAUAGAUAAAUUAACUAAAUUAAUAACUAUUGAUUCUUACAACCGAAUGAAUCAAUACUGAAUUUACUUAAGAUGGACAAUGACACCAUUUUCUUUAAGAGCUGCUGUGCAGCCAAAAUUAUAUACCAGUUAUCACUGUAAAGCUGCUUUGACACAAUCUGCAUUGUAAAAAGUGCUAUAUAAAUAAAGGUGACUUGCCUUGACAUAGAA